GUCCACGCCCUAAACGAUGUCAACUGGUUGUUGGGUCUUCACUGACUCAGUAACGAAGCUAACGCAUGAAGUUGUCCGCCUGGGGAGUACGGUCGCAAGAUUAAAACUCAAAGGAAUUGACGGGGACCCGCACAAGCGGUGGAUGAUGUGGAUUAAUUCGAUGCAACGCGAAUAACCUUACCUACCCUUGACAUGUACGGAAGCCCAGCGAGAGCUGGGUGUGCCCCGAAAGGGAGCCGUAACACAGGUGCUGCAUGGCUGUCGU
rnacentral:rRNA from 1 species